AGUGAACGCUGGCGGUAGGCCUAACACAUGCAAGUCGAACGGCAGCACAGUAAGAGCUUGCUCUUACGGGUGGCGAGUGGCGGACGGGUGAGGAAUACAUCGGAAUCUACUUUUUCGUGGGGGAUAACGUAGGGAAACUUACGCUAAUACCGCAUACGACCUACGGGUGAAAGCAGGGGAUCUUCGGACCUUGCGCGAUUGAAUGAGCCGAUGUCGGAUUCGCUAGUUGGCGGGGUAAAGGCCCACCAAGGCGACGAUCCGUAGCUGGUCUGAAAGGAUGAGCAGCCACACUGGAACUGAGACACGGUCCAGACUCCUACGGGAGGCAGCAGUGGGGAAUAUUGGACAAUGGGCGAAAGCCUGAUCCAGCCAUACCGCGUGGGUGAAGAAGGCCUUCGGGUUGUAAAGCCCUUUUGUUGGGAAAGAAAAGCAGCAGGUUAAUACCCCGCUGUUCUGACGGUACCAAAAGAAUAAGCACCGGCUAACUUCGUG
rnacentral:rRNA from 1 species